rnacentral:rRNA from 1 species
UCAGAUUGAACGCUGGCGGCAGGCCUAACACAUGCAAGUCGAGCGGUAGCACAGAGAGCUUGCUCUCGGGUGACGAGCGGCGGACGGGUGAGUAAUGUCUGGGAAACUGCCUGAUGGAGGGGGAUAACUACUGGAAACGGUAGCUAAUACCGCAUAACGUCGCAAGACCAAAGUGGGGGACCUUCGGGCCUCAUGCCAUCAGAUGUGCCCAGAUGGGAUUAGCUAGUAGGUGGGGUAACGGCUCACCUAGGCGACGAUCCCUAGCUGGUCUGAGAGGAUGACCAGCCACACUGGAACUGAGACACGGUCCAGACUCCUACGGGAGGCAGCAGUGGGGAAUAUUGCACAAUGGGCGCAAGCCUGAUGCAGCCAUGCCGCGUGUGUGAAGAAGGCCUUCGGGUUGUAAAGCACUUUCAGCGGGGAGGAAGGCUGUGAGGUUAAUACCCUCAUCGAUUGACGUUACCCGCAGAAGAAGCACCGGCUAACUCCGUGCCAGCAGCCGCGGUAAUACGGAGGGUGCAAGCGUUAAUCGGAAUUACUGGGCGUAAAGCGCACGCAGGCGGUUUGUCAAGUCGGAUGUGAAAUCCCCGGGCUCAACCUGGGAACUGCAUUCGAAACUGGCAGGCUAGAGUCUUGUAGAGGGGGGUAGAAUUCCAGGUGUAGCGGUGAAAUGCGUAGAGAUCUGGAGGAAUACCGGUGGCGAAGGCGGCCUCCUGGACAAACACUGACGCUCAGGU